ACAUGGCGGAGCAGCAGAAGUUGAGGGGCGGAAGGAGCGGGGAGGGCGGGUCGGAGAGGGAGGGAGGGAAGGAGAGCAGCAGAAAGUGCGGGAGCAGGCGCCCGGAGACGGAGAGCGAGUGGAUGAGCGAGCGAGGAGAGGCGCUGGAGGAAGAGGAGGCGCGUGGAUCCUGGCAGGGAGGGUCCAGAUCCGGUCGAGGGCGGGGCGACCGGCGGCGGCGGCUUCAACUCCGGGGUGGCGAGCUUGCUUCCUGAGAGAGCAAAGAGUGAGCUGAGAGACAUGGAGAGAGAGAGCACGGGAGGGAAGGAGAAAGGAAGAGGGAGGCGGGCCGUGGUUGGUUCUCCGGCGGCACUGGAUCGGUGCACGGGCGCGGAGCUCCUGCUCGGGGACGCGAAGAUCCAGGGAGGCACUCGGGUGCGAGGCUGCGGGUCAAUGCAGAGAUGGCGCUGCUCAUGCAACUUUGAAGAAGGCGCCGAGACGUCAUCUACAUCCGCAGGUACCAUAACCAGAGUCACUUAUUCGGCAUGGUUUUAUACUGGAAUUAACCACAUAACUAAUUUUGUUUUACCACCUUGACGCCUUCAGUUACAUAGGACUUCUGUCAAUGCCCAACCGAUAAUGAACAGGUACAAUUUUAUAGAUGGUUCAAGUGAAGCUGUGCAAAGUGAACCAAUUCUGCAAGCAACCAUGUCAUACAUUUUUCCUUGGUAGAAUUAACAUGUAUAGAUCAUUUUAUUGUGUGCAACAAGUCAACAAUACAUUGUUUGUAUAUCAUUGCUUUGGUCAAUUUCUGCCGUCGUGCUUCUGUGAAAAUGUGACCAGGAACUAACUAUGUGGUAAUUCAGUAAUCAGUAUAGAAUCUGACACUAAAUAAUACUCCAUCCGUUCACUAAUGUAAGACCUUUUAGCUUUUUCUUGAUCGUUUUCUCUUCUUCAGUUGUUGGCUGACGUGCAACAGUUUUUCUUGAACCAAGUACUUUGCACCAUAUUUUGAACUUUCUAAUUUUGUUCCAUGACAUGUUUUUGCAACCUUCCAUUUAAAAUUAGGUCCGGAGGCCUUUUGAUGGCAAUAAAAUUUACCUUUGUUUGUUCAUGCUUCAUGAAUUUUAGAUUCUGACAGGUUUGGGUCCAUCUAUAACAUGCUUGACCGGGCGAUCACGCGGCCGUCAAGCACUCUUAUCUACUGGUCAUAAGCUCUUACCAACUAAGACAAAGGAACUGAUAGUGGAGAUUCAAUUGCUCGGAGAGGAAAUCAUGAACCGCGAGCAGAAUAUUCUCUCACUGAAAGAAUAUUUGAUCUGUAUGUUGUCGGUCGGGUGUCCUCUACUACUGAAGUUUUACCACCAUCUGGUGGUGCUUGAGAUCAGAGACGACAUACUUUCAUCAGCAGCGGCCAAAUCCCCAGCGCCGCCUGUGUUGUACACCCCUGUACCCCUCGACAUCCAGUGCCUCGCGUCUGCCCAACAUGAACACCUCCUCAAUAGUUGAUUUUGCUCCAGGAUAGUUCCCUUUAUGCGCAUGAACUAAUGGGUGUGUUCACAACGUAGAGCAGCUUCUCCUUCCAGUCUCAUGUCUUUCUCUUCAGCAGGGAUCAGUGAGUACUACCGAGCAAAAAUGCCCUUCUCUUCGUCAUAUUUCUUCCUUUUCCUUACUACUUUUGUGGCUCCAAAUCUCUUGAUGGCUCUAUGUCUGUUCUUUUUGUUGACAUGGAUUUUACCCUGAAAGUUUCCUUCUGAUCUACAAUGUUCUGCUAUCUAAAUUCGUCUGUAUAUUGUGAAUGAGUAGACACUGGUGCAGAAGCCCAAUUGGAUGAAAAUACGGACUAUAGAGAGGUGUAAUUAUUAAUUAAUUUCUUGCUUUAAAAGAUAUGCAACUAGCAGAGUUCCUUAUUUUCAUCAAUUGGAUUAUGACCAAAGUGAAGAACUUAUGUGGACAGUCUGGCAGAUUUCAGUGGCAAGAUUUUUUUACAAUUUCAGUGGCAGAUUUCAGAAAUUUGUAGAGCACAGGAUUUACAAGAACAAGAUAUUCUGUCAAGCCAUGGAUAUCAACAAUCAGUCAAGCAAAGAAAUAUUCAUGGGAGAUAUACAGGGAUCCACAAGAAUGUGCAUCGUAUGUCACUACUCACUACCCUUUUGUCAUUGAGCCACUAUCACAUUUUGGUCAGCAAUCACUUCAAGCAAUUCUCAGCGCCAUUAGUCAGAAGCUUGAAUUUACAUCUGAACGAACAAUACAUCAAGCCACAGAAGAAAGAGUGGUCAUCUCUUUUUCUUGGUACAAAGAUGCCAUACAAGCAUUCAGACUUCUGAAUCGCACAAGCAGUUUGUAUAUAAAUGGUGUGCCAUAUCGUUUUAACAUGGAUACUUCAAAAGAAUAUCUGCCAAGAGUGGUCGCUGAUCACUAUGAUUAUAGACUUCUAGUAGCCCUAAAGAGUUUGCCUUGCGUUUGCGUUCACCUGUAGUUGUUUUAGCCUUUUAGAAGUAUAUGGCGUUGCUUAAACUAUGUUUCUUUUGGCAACAACAUAUGAAAUGGAGAAAGUUUUGUUGUUAUGGAAAAGUUGGCAAUAGCAACUGAUAUCUGAAUUUUAUUUGAUGUA